CCUGAGAAACUCAAAAGAUCGAAUGGGGAGAUUCAACGUCAGCGACCCCGGCGCUCGCGCGGCUCGCGAUGGGCUCGGUCACGAGCACACGCGUCCGCGCGUUACCGUUGCCGGGCGUCGUCGGCGUGCACUUCUCCCCUAGUAGGACGUCGCGACCCGUUGAGUGUCGGUCUAUUACGGAUCCCGACGGCAGUACUGUCGCGUUUCGAACGUCUUAACGGCGUUCGCGCGGCAGACCCACGGGACGCCUGACCGGCUGCUCGGCGGUACUCCGACGGUAUCGGGCCGCAAUUAUUGCGUUCGACCAGCCGCAAGCGCGGUCAUCGUUAUCCCCGGAUGUACGGACCUGGCGCCGUCGCCGGGCGUGACCAGCUGUUGGCCGGCUGUGUUCUCGAACUGGCUCAUUUGAAAAAUUGCGAUACCGGUCGGCGACGCUACUGCUUUGGGUACUUUCAGGACCCGUCUUGAAACACGGACCAAGGAGUCUAACAUGUGCGCGAGUCAUUGGGAUUCGAAAAGCCUAAAGGCGGAAUGAAAGUGAAGGUCGGCCAUUUAGCGCCGGCCGAGGGAGGAUGGACGCGACAAUUUAGGCGCGGCCCCGCACUCCCGGGGCGUCUCGUUCUCGUUACGAGAAGAGGCGCACCCAG
rnacentral:rRNA from 1 species